CAACACAAAAAUUGAGGCAUGUUCAUGACAUGUCAGGGGAGAUGGCAGCAGGUAAGGAAUGGAAAAUUAUAGACAAGGAAAAGAAGAAUGGGAAAUUUAACACUUAAAAAAGCAGAGAGGUCACCAGUUUACCCCUGAAAAGAAUUCAUCAGCAAGCCAGACAGCGCCAUUCAGUAGGUACCAACCACAAAGCAGAAAUCCAAAAGUCUUCAGGGCUGCCUCCACUCUUACUUGCAGUUUUCACUCCUGAAGAUAUUCAGUCACAACCAAGAUCAAAAGCAGAGUUGACCACACAUGCCAGGAAAGCCCACAGAUUUUGGGGGAUAAUUUCCUUAUCCUUAUGGCAUGGUUAAUUCACCUGGGAUCUUCCUUCCCACCUCUGCCUCUGGCCAAGACUCCAUCAUAACUUGCCUCCCGCUCGGCCAGACAGCACUGGGAAGCAGCUGAUGCUGAUCAUGGCCAACAACAGCCUGUUUGUGCCUUUUCAAAGCACAGGAUGAUGCAAAAAUGCCCCAGAAAAGAGUUGCUUCUUCUGCAUUUGGCUUAGGGCACAAAACACACAGAACACGAUGAUUAUCCUGGUUAUUUACACUCCACUAAAGAGAUAAGGGCUGUGACGACAAGAGCCAGCAAGUGGGUUCUUCAUGUGCUUUCCCAGGACAGCAGCAGCUCUUGGGAGAGCAGGGUGGAAGAGAAGAGAGCAGGCACUGUCACCAGUCUCCACCACAGCCAGAUCAUUCCUUUACCUGGAAUUAAGUGUUUUACUCCAAAAUCAGGUCUUUAGAGUGGUGGGGGUUUGCACCUUGGGCUUGCAGGCAUUGUCAUCAGUCUCCAUCAUAGCCAGAUCAUUCCUUUACCUGGAAUUAAGUGUUUUAUUCCAAAAUCAGGUCUUUAGAGUGGUGGGGGUUUGCACCUUGGGCUUGCUUUUGGAGGGAAGGUAGGAGGGAAAAAGCAGCAGUAAAUAACUACUUGCGUUACUCAUCACAACAGGAGCAAAGAAUCUGUUCUCAUGCACUGAGGGCAUCACAAAUCCCACAAAAACAGGAGUCCUAGACAUAUUACACGUAAGACCUUCAGUGAACUCCCCUUUGCUCCAUGUAGCCUCCCUAGCCCUGUGCUGCUGCCCAACCUGUUCUGCCUGCAAAGCAAAGCCAGGGCAGGGCCUGGAAGGGUUUGGACCAACUUUUCACCACGCAGCAACAUCCCUGUGUGCUGACUCUGCCACGUUUGCUGUUGCCUCAACCUCAGCACCUGGAUAAGCCCAGAGCCCCGGGGCUGUGCCAGGAAGGCGAUCCCAAGGCCAGGGGCGCACAGGGACGGGAUUCAGCGCGGGAAGGGCGAGGGCCCCGUUGGCCCUGCUGGGAAGGAGCUGAGGGAGCCGGGCACAUCCCGCACUCCCAGCUGAGCUGGGCGGCUGAAUCAGCGCGGGGGGACGGCCACGGACUGCUGACACACAGCUGCAAUAAAUCACCACCUUUCUGGAGCAACCAGCGGUGACUUAGUCAUCCUCCGUCCUGACGCCAUUCCAGGAGCAGAGCCACAGACAUCUCCCCGCUUUGGGCCGUGCCCGUGGCCCAAAAAUAGCUUUUAAGCCAAAUCCUGCAGUCAUCAUUCCAAGUUGAAACCCUUUUAUUUACACUCAGCAAGAACUCAUGUAUGUUUUUGACAAUGCUGAGAGUAACCAGUGCUUAAAUUAUUUGCUUAGCAAAGGAGUCUAUUUAACUACAAGAGUUAGACCAGUAUGCAAUGUUUUCUGACCCACAUAGAAACUAAUAAUUUGCAUUUUAUGGAACCACUUUACAUAGACAACCCAUCAUAAUGGCCAACAGCUUACUGUACAAGAAUUAAUAAUUGAAAAGCAACUCGUCAGCACGGUUAUUUUCUUUACAGGUGACUCACAAACCUCAUUACACUGUAGCAUUAAAUUUCCAAUGACCUUCUGGAAAGCUGCUCACUCUGAGAGUCUUUUUUUAAGGCAUGAUCUCUCAGAAUGCCAAGUAAUUGCAGAGAAAGUAUGUGACAGCUACCCAAAGUCUGUGGGAGAGGCCAGGCAAAGCAUCCUGUCAGAAAUAUAUCAGCCUGAUCCCCCUUUGGCUGAACAAGUGACUUUGACUUCAUGAAUCCCCCCUCUCUCCAGCCAGUCACUUGACCGAGCUUCUCUCACGAAUUUCUGCCUUAAUGCCAGAUUAAUCCUACUUCAUCCAGUCCCCAGACAUCUAAGAAGCUCCAGCUCUUUUUCUCUCAAAUCAUUGGCUUUUAAACUAUUUCUGUUGCAGCACCCAAGCAUUUGCUGUGGAUGAAAGAAGGCACAGAGACUAGCAAAGUAGUGUAAAGGCAAACAAAAAUUACACAGCAAAGCCUGGGAUUUUCAUAGUCUUAGGGGAAUUAGGUCCCCUGAAUCCCACGGCAACUCUGAGAAGAGUCAAGUACAUAAUUUUCCAUUAUGCUUGUAAAAAAUCCCCAAAUAAAUGUACAACUAAGUGCAGCCUCACAAGGCUGAGCAUUUAUUAUUCUCCUAAAUGUUGUUACUAAGCCUGAGAUCUCUUAUUCCAUGUUUUAAGGUUUGUUUUUCAGAACACAGUUUUUCUCUCACCAAAAUGCCAAAGAUGCAGAAUAGUGGUUGGAGGAAAAUGCAGCUCAGAGUGCUGUCCCUGUUGGGGAAGCAGAGCAGAGCAUCCCCCCAUUCUGAGCUGCUCACCCCAGUGCCUGUCCUGCUGAGAGAAUACAGCUCCCUCUUACUAUCAAACAGAGAUCAUCUCAGGAGCUUCUUCAUCAUGAGGUUUUGAUUUUAAUUCCAGUAGCUGUGGCUGAUAGACUCCCACAUCUGAAAACUGGGGAGUAAUUUAGAAACAUAAAUCAUAAGAAAAAACAGUUAUAUCCAUUAGACCUUU
ensembl:lncRNA